rnacentral:rRNA from 1 species
AGAGCGAACGCUGGCGGCGUGCUUAACACAUGCAAGUCGAACGCGCAGCAUUCUGUAGCAAUACAGGGUGUGGGCGCGUGGCGAACGGGUGCGUAACACGUGGAUAACCUUCCUUCGGGUGGGGAAUAACCCAGUGAAAAUUGGGCUAAUACCGCAUAACAUCGCGAUGGCACAUGCCGUUGCGUUCAAAGGCGCAAGUCGCCAGAAGAGGGAUCCGCGGCCGAUUAGCUUGUUGGCGGGGUAACGGCCCACCAAGGCUUUGAUCGGUAGCCGGACUGAGAGGUUGGCCGGCCACACUGGAACUGAGACACGGUCCAGACUCCUACGGGAGGCAGCAGUGGGGAAUCUUGCACAAUGGACGAAAGUCUGAUGCAGCAACGCCGCGUGGGGAUGAAGCUUCUCGGAGUGUAAACCCCUUUCGACCCGGACGAAUGCCUGCAAGGGUUUGACGGUACGGUAUAAGAAGCCCCGGCUAACUACGUGCCAGCAGCCGCGGUAA